CCAGCAGCUGCGGUAAUUCCAGCUCCAAUAGCGUAUAUUAAUGUUGUUGCAGUUAAAAAGCUCGUAGUUGAAUUUCUGAUAGGUUUAUUAGCUGGCUUCGGUCGUUAAUAGGCCUAUCAUCCGAUAGAGAACUAUAGCCGGCCUUCACUGGUCACUAUAGCUAUCUAUCAUUUUACUUUGAAAAAAUUAGAGUGUUCAAGGCAGGCAAACGUCAUGAAUACUAUAGCAUAGAAUAAUGGAAUAGGACUUAGGUUCAUUUUAUUGGUUAUUGAACCUUAGUAAUGAUUAACAGGGACAGUUGGGGGCAUUAGUAUUUAAUUGUCAGAGGUGAAAUUCUUGGAUUUAUUAAAGACUAACUUAUGCGAAAGCAUUUGCCAAGGAUGUUUUCAUUAAUCAAGAACGAAAGU
rnacentral:rRNA from 1 species